rnacentral:tRNA from 2 species
GCAGAAGUGCUGGAAUAGGCAGACAGGCAUGUUUGAGGGGCAUGUGCGAGGAAUCGCGUGAGGGUUCAAGUCCCUCUUUCUGCACCA